AGAGAUGCUGCCUGGCCUGCUGCGUUCACCAGCAACUUUGAACUUGGAUGUAUCUGUACUGGUGCUAGCGACAGAAGGGUCGGCUGUGCAGCAGCGAGCGAAGCACUGAGGACUAUGCUUGGAGACGUAAAAUAAACAGACUGAAUGUUAGAAUUCUGGUGCAAGGCACAACUUGAGAGUUGACAUGGCAAAAUAUUGUGAGACAGCGAGGACGAAACGAAUACUGAUCGCAGAAUCACAAACUAGAAACAUACUAAAAGCGAAGAUUGCGAAAGACCACUGAGAAAGAAAAUGAAAAUGUAAAUGAAAGCAUAAUGACAAAUAUACUCUUCUUGGGCUUCCAGUCGA